CCCUACGGGAGGCAGCAGUGAGGAAUAUUGGUCAAUGGUCGGGAGACUGAACCAGCCAAGCCGCGUGAGGGAGGAAGGUACAGAGUAUCGUAAACCUCCUUUGUCAGGGAACAAAGGCGGGGACGUGUCCCCGGAUGAGUGUACCUGAAGAAAAAGCAUCGGCUAACUCCGUACCAGCAGCCGCGGUAAUACGGAGGAUGCGAGCGUUAUCCGGAUUUAUUGGGUUUAAAGGGUGCGCAGGCGGUCUGUUAAGUCAGCGGUCAAAGCCCGGGGCUCAACCCCGGCCCGCCGUUGAAACUGGCAGG
rnacentral:rRNA from 1 species